rnacentral:rRNA from 1 species
UCUUUACAUUUUUUUUUGUAUUUUUUUAUUUAUUUGGUAUUAAUUAUUAAAUAUAAAAGGUGUGUUAUGUUGGGGCAAUGAUAAUAUAGUAAAAUUAAUUAUUAGAGUAAUUAAACAAAAAUUUUUGUUAGUGUAAAGUAGGUCCUUGACGAAGAGUAUAAGAUUAAGUU